CCUGCAAACCCCCUAGCUCCACCUCUCUUGGUCACCUCCCUACCUCUCCUGGUUGGGAGGGCAGCCUAGCACAGUGGUUACAGGCACCGACGCUAGUGCCUGCACACCUGGUUUCAAAUUUCUCUUGUCAUUUGCCAAAUGUGCGACCCCAGUCAGGUUAUUUAACUCAGUUUCCCAAUCUCUAAAACAGGAUGGAUGGUAAUAGUACCUACUUCAGAGGGUUAUUGUGAAGAUAAAAUGAAGGAUCAUGGAUGAAGCUGCUAUAAGUUGAGGUCAACUACAAGGUUAGAGGGCACAGCCUGCACACGAGACCGCCCUUGCUUCUGACACCACCUGCAAGUUCCGGAGGUGCCCCAAACUGCCUUCAGGAAUACAAGAGUGAUCAAGAUGCUCAAAGCCUAAUAAGAGAGAAAGAGGGACAACGCAAUCCACUGUGCUGCCUGUGGUGACCAGGGAUGGCGCAGGAGUUUCCUCAGAGGACAGAAAGACGAGAUGGCACUAGCACCUGUCUGCCGUCUUGCCUCUGGCCUCUCCUUCAUGGCAUCCAUCUCGGGAUCUCCAGCACCAGUCACAGAGCCUGGCCACAGAGAGGGCUCAAUCACUCCACGCUGGACCUGUUCUCAGAGACCAUCUGGUUUGACCUCUGUAUUAUUCAAAUGGGGAGCCAGAGGCCUGGAGAGGUGCAGAGACUUGUCUCAGGUCACCUAUGGAAGAACUGAGACUUGAACUCAGUUCUCAUGACUCCUAGCCUAAGGCUCUUUCUCCCAUUGCCAGGGCCACACAAGUGCUUGCUCCUUUGAGUACAGGUGGGUGGCUUGGGAGAAGGAGUCAGCAGGAGGGACAGGUAUGCUAACUUUGGGGCCCAAAGGAAGGGAGAACCCGGGAGUGGAAGAUGGGGCCCCAUCCAAGCCCUUUUCUUCUUUGUUCAUCACCAGAAAGUCCCCUUUUCUUUGGGUAACUGGAUGCCCAAAUCUCCACCCUGAUCCCAUCUCUUUUGCUGAUAAUCCAUGACUAUGUCUUCUCGCCCUGUCUGGGGAUUUACUAGGAGGCCC
rnacentral:lncRNA from 1 species